CGGAGACAGUUCUGACUGCACAGGUAUACAUGGAUACGACUGUACGUGAACAGAGCUGGACAUAAGUUCAGCCAUCUGCAACAGAUUGGACUCUGAAGGGACUUUGAUUUCAUGGUGUAACACGUGGACAGCAAAGAAGAAACUAUAUUGUCCAAAAAGACCUAUAAACAAUCCACUUCCCGGAAGAAACAGGGCAGAAAACACCAGAUCAGAGUUAAGGUUAUUGAGGGAAUGAUACAUUUCCAGACUUCCAAUCUGUUUUUAAUCUUGAAUCUGAGCUGAGAAUUUUUUGCCUUUCGAGCGGCUAUGAAGAAAAAACAAUCAAGUGUAUUUGUAUUACGGUAACUUCAUCAGGUCCUACUCAGGACUGCAGCCCCCUUGCGCUAGGACACACGGGACAGUUCGGUAACUGACGUAGAGAUACAACCUCAGCUCAAACUUUGCGGCGCUUGUGCGUGGCGCUGGCCUUUAACUGCGCUCCUGUUUGUAACGUACCGCGGAAUCAUUUUAAUGCAAACCAGAGCAGGACACGUCCCAGUCACCCCCGUGUAUCCUGUUAACCCACAACUGAGAGUAAACAAAAGGAGGGAAUGAAACCAACAGCUGGAGCUGGUGACUUCUUGGAAAGGAAAGGGCUCAUCUUCAGUCUCUUUGCUUUCAAAUCAACAGAGCCAUUCGGCAGAUUUCACUCCGCAAGGAAAGAGAAGGCAGCGAGAAGGCCAAACAUCCCCCGCCUGGUCCCCAGCGUGCUGGCAUUGCACGGAGACGGAGUGUGUGGCCUCGUACACAACUCUACAGUGCUGGACAACAAUGAGACUCGUGCCUCUGCCGUACAGAGGCAAGGAGCCCCCUGAGGCAGGAUGGCCCAGUGGGUAGGGUGCUAGCCAAGGACUCUGGAGAGCUUGGAACACCGAAGCCACGAGAUCGUCACUCUUCACAGUCCCGGUUCCUGAAAGCCGCGCCAAGCAGCUGGGGCCGAGGCCCCGCUGAAUGGGGACGCGCUGCUCGGAGGAGACAACUCCCAAGGUUUCGGCAGAGCAGGCAACGCCCUCAUCCAGGCAGGAAUUGGCACCAGCAUGGGCGACCCAGCUGCAUUCCUCCCAGGCUGGCAAAGGCAGCAGGGUGUGUCCUCCACCUCAUCCUCUUCGUCCGCCCGCUCCCGCCCCCCCGGCUAAACAUCCUGGCUCGUUGCUGGGAUAUCGCUAUAAACAAAACAGGGCGGGGCCCUCUCUCUCCGCUGGGCCCAUCCAGAUGCCCCAAAGCACCACCCAUGGAGCGGCCGCAAUGCACACACAUGCCAGUACUUUGCUACCCGGCGGGGAACGCUUGCCUCCCUGGAAGCAGUGAGCUGGUCCUUGCACGUCUCGCUGUAACAGGGAAAAGGAAUGGAGACACGGCCCCGAGAAGAAGUGCAAAGUUCCCUCCAGGAGUUCCAGCAAGUCAUGUCCUUGGAGUCAGGGCUGUGCUGGCAGGACAAAUACAGCCUGGCCUAUCUGUCACCCUUAGGGGCACAGUAAUGUGGGAGACCAGCCUUCAUGCUUCAGGGCAUGAGCUGAUGGCUGGCUGGGGUCAGGAAGGAAGUCCCUCUGCCCGGUGUAGAGUGUAGCACAGAGGUUAUCCUGUAGCAGUGUCCAAGGCAGGAUACUGGGCGCGAUGGAGUAUCUCAGGAUCUCAUGGAACAUGCCUUGGGGAGGGCAUGGUAGAGGGUCCCUUGAUCUCUGCUGGCAAGGCAGGAGCGGGUCCUCCUAGUGAAUAUUACAUCACUGAAGUGCCCGGAGGCCCUGAUGAAGGUCAGGGCCCUGCUGGGCUAAGCACUGGAGGUGCACAGUCCCUGCCCCCAGGAGCUUACAAUCGCUAGCGGCCCAAGAGUGGG